rnacentral:rRNA from 1 species
GAUGAACGCUGGCGGCGUGCAUAACACAUUCAAGUCGAACGGUGAUGAGGACUUCGGUCCUCUGAUCAGUGGCGGACGGGUGAGUAACGCGUGAGCAACCUGCCCUAUAUUGCGGGAUAACAACCGGAAACAGUUGCUAAUACCGCAUGACGUAUUCGGAUCGCAUGUUCUGAAUACCAAAGAAUUUUGAUAUAGGAUGGGCUCGCGUCCGAUUAGGCAGUUGGUGGGGUAACGGCCCACCAAACCGACGAUCGGUAGCCGAACUGAGAGGUUGAACGGCCACAUUGGAACUGAGAUACGGUCCAG